GACGAACGCUGGCGGCGUGCUUAACACAUGCAAGUCGAACGGAAAGGCCCUGCUUUUGUGGUGUGCUCGAGUGGCGAACGGGUGAGUAACACGUGAGUAACCUGCCCUUGACUUUGGGAUAACUUCAGGAAACUGGGUCUAAUCCCGGAUAGGAGCUCCUGCUGCAUGGUGGGUUUUGGAAAGUUUCGGCGGGUGGGGAUGGGCUCGCGGCUUAUCAGCUUGUUGGUGGGGUUGUGGCUUACCAAAGCUUUGGCGGGUAGGCGGGCUGGGGGGGGUCACGGGCCCAAUUGGGAUUGGAUACCGCCCAGGACUCCUCCGGGAGGAAGCAGGGGGGAAUAUGGCACAUUGGGCGGAGGCCGGAGGCAGCAACGCCGGGGGGGGGAUGCCGGCCUUCGGGUUGUAAACCGCUUUCGCCUGUGACGAAGCGUGAGUGACGGUAAUGGGUAAAGAAGCACCGGCUAACUACGUG
rnacentral:rRNA from 1 species